AGAACACAAGCCUCUAGAAAACCCAGAUCAGCAAACAUUCUGAAUGCUACUUCAGCUCACCAUUGUAAAGCACCUGGAACAGUAUCCAGCAGAUAGAAAGCACUGUUAAAACUGGAUGGAGGGCAAACUUGUAGAAAGAACACAUUGCAUGGAAGGCUGAAUGAACAGCUUCUGAAACAGAUUCUCGCUUAAUAAGAUAACUGCACCUCAGGACUGUGCCAGCGUAAGAACCGCCAGCUUCAUUUCCAUUUGUGAACUGGUACAGGGCAAGUCCUCCACAGGUUGGCGACCCAGUGUUCUCCGGGCUCGACUGCUUGGCAACUGC